GCAUUGGUGGUUCAAUGGUAGAAUUUUUGCCUCCCAUGCGGGACAGCCAGGUUCAAUUCCUGGCUAAUGCA
rnacentral:tRNA from 1 species